UUUGCUUUAAAUAAAAGGUCCAGCCUGCCCAGUGACACUGUUCAACGGCCGCGGUAUCCUAACCGUGCGAAGGUAGCGUAAUCACUUGUUCUUUAAAUGAGGACUAGUAUGAAAGGCACCACGAGAGUCAUACUGUCUCCUCUUUCCAAUCAGUUAAACUAAUCUCCCCGUGAAGAAGCGGGAAUAACUAUAUAAGACGAGAAGACCCUAUGGAGCUUUAAACGAAUAACACUUGCCCACACUCCUUUUAAUUUCAGAAAAAUCUUCUACCUUGGCAUCAUACUUAUAAGUUUUUGAUUGGGGUGAUCACGGAGCAAAAAAUAACCUCCGCAAUGAAAGACUCUCCAUGACUAAAUCAAGAACCACAACUCUACAUAUCAACAAAUUGACACCAAUUGACCCAAUUUAUUGAUCAAUGAAC
rnacentral:rRNA from 1 species